UGGGGAAUAUUGGACAAUGGGCGCAAGCCUGAUCCAGCCAUGCCGCGUGAGUGAAGAAGGCCUUCGGGUUGUAAAGCUCUUUUGGCGGGGACGAUAAUGACGGUACCCGCAGAAUAAGCUCCGGCUAACUUCGUGCCAGCAGCCGCGGUAAUACGAAGGGAGCUAGCGUUGUUCGGAAUCACUGGGCGUAAAGCGCACGUAGGCGGAUUUGUUAGUCGAGGGUGAAAUCCUGAGGCUCAACCUCAGAACUGCCUUCGAUACUGCAAGUCUUGAGUCCGGGAGAGGUGAGUGGAAUUCCUAGUGUAGAGGUGAAAUUCGUAGAUAUUCGGAAGAACACCAGUGGCGAAGGCGGCUCACUGGACGCGUAUUGACGCUGAGGUACGAAAGCGUGGGGAGCAAACAGGAUUAGAUACCCCCGUAGUCCCUGAGCGGGCUGGCAAGGCGCAU
rnacentral:rRNA from 1 species